rnacentral:tRNA from 1 species
GCGAGAGUGGCGGAACUGGCAGACGCACUGGAUUUAGGAUCCAGCCCCGGAAACGGGUUGGGGGUUCGACUCCCCCCUCUCGCACCA